GGUGGGAGAAUGCAACAAUUACGCUACUUUUAUGACCUCACACGUGGACGAGGAGAGCAGCUGUCGCUCUGGCAAUUUCAGGCGUUAAUUGAACGGGACAAACAGUCGACACACAAAUACAAAAUGAGAACACUCGCAAGGAGCUGCUGCCGGUCACAACGCUCACACGGACUAACCUGCCACACAUCCACCAAACCAAUAAUACAGAUGCACACAGACAGGGAUGGGAGGCCAACAGGAAGCUGGACUCUUGUCCCCAACUUCCACACAGCAUGCAGUUCGAAGAAUGGCCCUCUGACAACAUCAGAGCUUUUCUAACCUUGAAAGAACAGCUUGGAACCUGAUAUUUACAACAAGGAACCAGUGCAGCUAUAAGUGGGACAGAGUGGAGGGCAUCUCACUGACAUGAAAAUCGCUUCCUCUACAACUCCGUGCAGAAUGAAAAGGGAAAAGAAUGACAAGUAGAACUGAUCUAACUUAUCUAAACUAAACCAACCCAUUGUGCCAACUGGGAGAUAUUUCUAAAAAUGGUGUCAAAAUAAACACAACCAUUCAUCAAACAUUAUCUAUUUAUUUAUUUAUUUUUUUUGCUCUGGAAACACCGGCCCCUUUUUUCAUUGCGCUUCCGACCACAUUUGAAUUGCAAAUUAAAUGUCAAAUAUUAAAUGGAAAUGCUUUUCAAAUUUAUCAAAUACAAUUGACACUGUGGGAAAUGGACAGUGAGCUUGGUUGUUUUGAUGUGUUAGUGACUGUGUGUGUAAGACAUCGGGGCAUCUUCGUGUGCUAUAAGUUUGUGUGGAUGAGCAAUUCACUUAAUUUAUAAGCAGUAAGUAUAAAGGGGUUGGGGGCUUUCGGAAACUAUAGCACAAACUAUUGUUUUACUGGAGAAAAAGUUACUUUUGUAUCCAUAUAGACCAACAUCAUAGUCACAUUGUUGUUGUUUUUUCCGAUUUGCAAGCAGAUCAACGGAAUGAUGGGGGGGGGACUUUUAGGACAACAUAUAUUACAAAUCUUGCAGAAAGAACCAUUAUAUUCUCAAACUGUUUUACCUGACAUUUUUUUCAGUUAUUUUAACUUAAAUUAUAUAGUCCUCUCAACUGUGCUAAAAUCUAUGCAAAUAAAAAAAACAAAAAAAACACUCUACUUCUAGUAAGCUCUACGUGGAUGAAUUGCUAAUGUGUUUAGUGUUUUUGGAUUUAAAGUGUGCCACGUGCUUGACCUCGCCACACUUCCCAGAAUCUGGGGGGAGAAUGCAGUCUGACAGGGGUUAUCCUGCUUGAGCUCACUUUGUGUUAUGAGAGAUCUUGAACUCUUUCUGUUUAGAAUGUUUACAAUGUAAAAGUGAAUAUACUGCACUCUAUCGUGAUAUGCAGCCUCAUGCUGUAAAUUGUUUACUUUUAACGGCUAUACUUCAUAAAGCCUCAGGGGUUUUAUAUACUUUUAUACUUUGAAGCCUUGUUCUUCCUCUGAGGAAAGCCACAAUACGCUUUUGACGCUUUGACACUGCAUUCCCGCUAAACUGGAAGUCGCAUGGGUAAAGCUUUUAUCAUUUUUUGAAGCAUCCGCUGACUUGAGCUUUUGUUGACGCUAAAUUCCACUGCAUCCCUCCGGACAUGCAUACCCCUUACCCUUUGUACGAACGCCUGCACCAAGAGGUUGGUGCUUUCAUCAGUGGAGGUACAGUAGUAGCUGCAAAGCAAAGCUUUCAAAUGCAGAUGGCCUCACGUCUGUCUAAAUGAUACCUGAAACCAAAUAGAAAGACAGAAGUGUAUAUCAGAAUCGACAAUGUCACAAGACACAAAAGGAAUUUGUCUCUGGUAGUUGGAGCAACUCUAAUAUGACAACAAACAGCCACUAUGGCAAAGAGCCACUGGAGAGCAAUGGAAGUGUAUCACUAGUGUGGUGAUGCUUAUAUAUUAGUGCAAAUUGUCCAAAUGAUGCAGAGACCUCAAGUAUUUUAGAGCAAUUUAAAGUGACUAAUAGUGCAAUAAUCUGGUACAGCGACGAUUCUUAAAAUGGUUCAGUUGUCAAACACAUACUGUAAGUGGGCAGUAGUACUCAACAACAGUAUGUAAAUAGGACAGCAUGAUAAAACUGAGUGCACAAAUAAUGUAAAAGUGUCCCGACAGAGAUGUGCAAAAUUGGCAGCGUGUUUCAAUGAAAUUGUAAGUCAACUGUUUUAGAGGUUUCUGGCAAGAGGGAAGAAGCUGUUGGAAUGUCUGCUAGUUUUAGUUUGCAUUGUUCGAUAGCGCCUACCUGAGGGAAGGAGCUGGAAUAAGUGGUGACCAGGAUGUGGAGGGUCCAAGAGGAUUUUGCAUGCAUUGCAUUGCGAAACGUCUGGACCGGGAACCAGCACUGAGGUACUGAAUCUCGGGCCGACGCCCGCAUCCACCCCCUGACCCUGCACCAGUCUGCCAAGAAACUCUUGAGUAUGUGUGUGUGCCCAGAUGUGUUUAGUGAAUAAUAUUUACAGUGAAUGGUGUGUGUGUGUGUGUGUGUGUGUGUGUGCUGAGUGAGUGAUUAAGAGGCAUGGCUCAUGCAGGCCGGACUCAUCCGGCGGGACAACCACAGGGAGAGAGCCCAGCCCUGCUGUACCGCCCCCUAGAACCCCCCCAUCCCAGUCAGGGCCCGCUACCAGCCCCAGAGUGCGGGCGGUGGACACCGCCCCCAGACCAAACAGUGACAAAACCCCACAGUAGGCCCCACAGUCAGCAGGGAACCGGCCACCCGCCCGCCCCCCCGCGUGAAGAUGAGGAGGGGACCACAGCCAGACGUAAGGACCAGACGUAAGAAGAGGAGGAAGCAGGCCCGAGGAGAGACAGGGGCCCCACCAUGCCCAACCAGCAGCCGGAACAGGGAACCAAGGCGGACGCCAAUUGGCCACGCCAGCACCCACAGAACAUGAGCGAAUCCACCACCAGCGCACACCGGGAGGCCUGUCCAGUUAUCCGCCCCCCCAGGAAGGAGUAAAGAAAAUAUUUCGGCAGAUUUUUCAUGAGUCUUGACUGUUCAUUGCAGUCUGAUUUGGUCCUUCUUUGUGGCAGCACCAAACCAGAUUGUGAUGGAUGAACCCAGAACCCAUUCAAUGACUGCUGUGUAGAACUGCCUCAACAGCUCCUGUGGUAGGCCUUGCUUCCUCAGAAGCCGCAGGAAGUACAUCCUCUGCUGGACCUAUUGGAGGAUGGAGUUGAUGUUGGUCUCCCACUUAAGGUCAUGAGAGACUGUAAUUCGCAGGAACUUGAAGGUCUCCAUGGGUGAUGUAGGGAAGAUAGACAGCGUGAGGGGCAGUUGUGGGAAAGCAUGUUUCCUGAAGUCCAUGAUUAUCUUUACCGUCUUGAGCGUGUUCAGCUCCAGGUUGUGUCGGCCGCACCAAAGAUCCAGCCGCUCCACUUCCUGUCGAUAUGGAGACUCAUCACAGUCUUUGAUUAGGCCGAUGACUGUGGUGUUGUCUGCUCUGGUGUCGACUUCAGGAGUUUGACAGCCGUCCUUCAUGCAGAGAGAGAAGAGUAAUGGAGAGAGGAGACAUCCUUGGGCCGCCCCUGUGCUAGUGGUUUGUAUGGAUGAGGUGGUGUCCCCCAGCCUCACCUGCUGUGUCCUGCCUAUCAGGAAGCUGUAAAUCCACCAGCAGAUGACAGCAGAAACGCUGAGCUGGAAAAGCUUGCACAAGUUGAGUUCAGGGAUGAUGGUUUUUAACACAGAGCUGCAAUCCACGAACAGGAUCCUCGCAUAGGUCCAUGCACCAUUAAGGUGUUCAAGGAAGAAGUGAAGUCCCAUGUUGACUGCCUCAUCCACAGACUUGUUUGGUCGAUAGGAAAACUGCAGAGGGUCCAGCAGGGGUCCUGUGACGCUCUUGAGGUGCUAUAGCACGAGGCGUUCAAAGGACUUCAUGACCAAAGAUGUCAAGGCGACACGUCUGUAGUCAUUCAGUCCUGAAAUUGCAAGGUUCUUGGGGACGGGGAUGAUGAUGGAGCGUUUGAGGCAGGAUGGGACUCAGUUUCAAAGAUCUAUUGAAGGUCUGUGUGAAAACUGGAGCGAGCAGGCAGGUCUGCGCAGAGUUUCAAGCAAGUCUUUUGUUGUUUAAAGAUACAUUUCACAUCCUGUUCGUGAAUGGUCAAUGUACAAGUGGGGGUCAGAUGGUGGUCGUCGGUGGUGCGGCUGGAUGGGUGUGGGGUGUAAAAGUGUUCAUUUUAGAAGCAGUAGAAUGUCGUCAAGUCGUCAGCUAGUCCUUUACUGUUCUCCGCUUGAGGGGAUGAUCGCUUGUAGCUCGUUAGCGACUGUAAUCCUCCCCAAACCGAUGUAGAGUCAUUAGCAGUAAAAUGUUUUUCCAUCUUUUCUGCAUAAUUUCUUUGUAUUGAUUUCUUUUGUCACCGGGUUUCUGGCCUGAUUGUACAUGGCUCUGUCCCUACUCUGAUAGGUGUCCUCUUUACUCUGGCAACAUUUGGCAGUGAACCACAGCUUUCUGUUAUUGAACGUGCAAAAUGUCUUUGUUGGUACACACACGUCUUCACAGAAGCUGAUGUAGGAUGUAAUAAUGUCCGUAUAUUCAUCCAGUUAAAGUUUCAAAGACACUCUAAUCUGUGCAGUCUAAAGUCUUGAAGUUUUAUCUUUGCGUCAUUGGUCGACUUAUUCACUCUUUGCACCACAGGCUUUGCACAUUUAAGUCUGUGCCUCUAUGUUGGUAUUUAGUGAAUUAAACAUCGAUCAGACUAGCUCAAAGCUGCACGGCAAACAGCAUGAUAUGAGUCCUUCAGCGUGGUAUUGCAGUGGUCAAGAAUGUUGUUUUUGGGACAGUCAAUGUCCAUCCAUCCAUCCAUUUUCCGAACCACUUGUCCUCGCUAGGGUCGUGGGUGUGCUGGAUCCUAUCCCAGCUAUCUUUGGGCGAGAGGCGGGGUACACGCUGAACUGGUCGCCAGCCAAUCGCAUAUAAACAAACAACCAUUCACACUCACAUUCAAACGUACGGGCAAUUUAGAGUUUUCAAUUAACCUACCAUACAUGUUUUUGGAAUGUGGGAGGAAACCGGAGAAACCCACAAAGGCACAGGGAGAACAUGAAAACUCCAUACAGGCGAGGCCGGAUUUGAACCCGGGUCCUCAAAACUGUAAGGCAGAUGUGCUAACCAGUCACGCACCGUGCCGCAGACAGUCAAUGUCAAUGUGCUGCUUGUAUUUAGGGAGUUAGUGUUUGGGUUUCGCUUUGUUAAAAUCCCAAGGGAGGGGAUGUAAACACUGGCGAGUAUGAGCCUCGGCCGGUGAUUACAAUGACUUGCCAUUCAAAAACAGCGACUCCAAGUCUGGGCUGCCAUGUGUGUUGAGCUCUGUGACAUCAGUACACCAUUUGUGUCCACCUAAUGUUUAGCAAGUCUUCCCUAGUGUAAGUAAGUCAGGUAAUGUCUCCAAAGACAAAUGCAAAGACAAAAAGAGGGACAAUACGUGAGAGAGUGUAACUGAGGUGACCACAUGGAUAGGUGCCAUCGUAUCAUAUAUCUGUAAAGUCACUUUUGGGUCACCUUCUAUAUCCAUUUUUAGACUAGCAGAAUAAAUAUAAUACCAUUAAUCAUUUAUUCAUCAGAAUUUUCUGAUUUUGUGAUGCAUUUCCAAUCCAGAGCGCAAGAAAAACUUUGCCCAUAGACACGUUAAAAGUUGUACAUGUGCACACACAUGCUCCUCUUCAAUACAAGAGAUAUGAGCACAGAGCGGAAUGGGCUCUAUGUGGCCUGGACUUCCAUAUUUAGUGUUCAGUUGGUAGUGGCCUGUGAAAUUCGAGUUGUCGCUGUCUGCUGGAGUUACCGAAUUACCUUGAAGGAUGUACGAAGAAUUGUCCGAAACCCUGUUCAAGCUUUACAUCUAUCGUACCGCUGUAAUUUUAAAGGUAAGUUUGAGAACAUUGGUUGCUAUUUUACUGUAAUACUGCUAGACUGACUUGGUGUGGUUUAACAUUGUCUGCAGAACCAUACUGAUUUAGUCAGCUAGUACUUACCUAUGGCUUAGUGGUUUCUUUGUCCCUACUAAAGUAGUACUUGCGCCCCCCAGUGAUGUAGAUGGGCAACCACUUGGCAGUCACAAUAUGUCCACCCCCCACCAAUGAUUGUAAAUUCUAUUUUGAAGGUGAGCCUCCUAACGUGAUUUUAUGUCAUUUAAACGACCAUCGAUCUCAUAGUGCAUAUAUAUACACAACUUUUCUCCAAUAGAGUUGUUUAAUUGACAGAUAACCAUUGAGCGAGGCAUGGUUUCAGCACAUUCAGUAGAGCAGCGUUUGAAAGCAGACAAUGACUUGAUUUUUCAUGAUUUCGAAACCUCAUUUUAUAUAAUUGGUGAUUUCUUUUUUAAUAAUUCUAAUUUGCCAGGGUUGUUAACAACACUGUGGUGUGUCAAAUUUCAUUUUUGACAUUCAUUUUUGAUAAACUGGGUCUUCAAGUGAAUAGGCAUUGUUUAAGUUAAUUCUUAACAUUGUUAGUAGUCAUACAAGUAUAAAAAGAAUGAAUGUGAUUAAGAUGCAAAAUGAUUAAAUUGCAUUCCCACCGUUAGCAUUGACGAUGUGUGCUAUAUGCAUAUUGUGUACACAAGUGGAGGGAGGCUUUCUGAAGGCGGGUUAACGUCAUGCAUCAUACUUUUUCUUUCAGUUUAUUUUUGAAAGGGGACAAUGCAAUUUCAUAAAACACAUGAAGUACACAUGGUUAAAAAAGCCAGAAUUAGCCAGAAGGCUAGUUUUUAACACUUCUAUAACGUGUCAUAAAAGUACAGUUCACAGUUCUUGAGCUUCGAUGAAAUGCUUCUCUUCUGGUUGUAUGGCCCUCAUUGUCAUCACAAAGAACAAACAAAAAAAACGCAAAAAACACUGCGCAGUAUGAAGCCCGCUGGUCACCAAGCAUUACAGCAUUGAGCAGUGUGCAUGUUUAACAAAGGUCAAGCUGCGCAGUCCUUGCACGAAGCUAGAAACCGCACGACAAACGUAUGCCCCAUGUUGAAAGGCCAGCGCAUCAACCGCUAAGCUAAAAGCAGUGUGUGGGGUUCUACGGCGCGAUGCAACAGCACAGAUGUUUACGGACACUCAAAAUGCCAUGUUAUAUCACAUGAUCUUUCACAACAAAACGGUGAACUGGAUGGAAGAAAGCGAGGAAGAGUUUAUUGAAUUACGGCGUGCUGAGCUGUGUCUGCGUGACUCUUUGUAUUUUCCAUCAAUGAAGAAUUAUAUUUAUGGUGGCCAGGGCAAGACGGCUUUUCCUUGACAACCGCGCCAUGUUGUUUGUGGUUCAAGAAACCGAUUGACACUUCAAAUGUUGUUACUUGAUUAGAAUGCUAGCGGUAGCUUUUUUUUUUUUUUUGGGUGCAGCAAGUUCGGGUGCGACGGUUAGUUCAGUUGCAUCACUCGGUGUACGGUGGGCUUUAGAUGCUCACUGGGUUGUAGUCUUAAAGGAUACACUGAAGUAGUGCAAGAUUUCCUAAAGUCCCAGGAGAUGUGAAGAAGUCUUGUGAGAGAGGCUGAAUGGUCCAAGUUCGAUUUGUAUGAUUUUUAGUAUGUCUUUUGACUUCAGAAGCGGCAGUGUAUUUCAAUAACACUAACAACAUAAAUGCAGUAGACUGAGCUAGACUUCCUGCAAAUGCAGUGGCAGAAUAGGUGGGCUGUGUACAUGAAAGAGAAGAAUACUCAAAACACUACGUUCUGGUGUUCUACAUUUGAAAGAGAAUGAGCAAGUGCAUGUCUCGUUGCAUCCUUGACAUUUCAUCACCUUUAAGUGUGUCAGGCAUUAUCAGCCAUCCACAACAACAUGUGACGCGGAUGGACAGGAGAAUGAGCGUAUACCUCAGGACGUUGGCAGCAUCCUUCACACCAGAUAUAAACACAUUUAGCUCGCCAACCACAAAUGACAUUGCUUACACAUCUUAUCGCACAUUAUUAAAAGCUAACAGUGGCCUAAGCAAAAUGGAAUGCCCUCUGUUCUUACUCUACACACCACUCUCACACCACUGUGCAAAGCCAAACAGAAUUUGUAUGCAACUCAGUCUUACCCAAAAAGGAAAAGCCACAGCAGGCAUCACAAUGUGUUUACGUCUUCCUUAAAGUAUCCAUGAUAGAAUAUCUUUUGAAAAUAGACUGGUGGUUUUGCAACACAAUACAAUGGGGCCCUGGACGUAAAACCAAAGAGUUGCAUCGUGAAACCAAAACUGAAACCUGAUAUCAUCAUAUUAGUCAUGCAAUAAUUGCAAUGAGAAGACUGCUCCAGGACAUUCAAGCUUGUAAAACAACACUGCAUGCAGAAGGGCAAAAACUCUCAGCCCCUCCAGACAACCAGCCAGAUGAAUAUAAUUACCCUUGGAGCAAGCCCCGACACGUGCAGUGCAGAAACAUAUUAAGAAAAUAUAAGGUUCUUAGUCAGUGGUGGGGUCACAGAAACUAAUGCACAUAUUCUUUAAACACUUGAUCUUCAAAACCUAUAUUGUAAAUGUGCAUAUCUUCUUUAUCUGCUGCUGUUUACUUUAAUCUACCGAUUAUUUAUUCUAAAAAUAUACUUUUAAAAUAGCGCCAUUCUUUCAUCAUUACAUGUGCAAAAGUCACGAGUAUGUGACGUGCAUCUGCCCCUCCCUCCGGCGAAAGGGUGGAAGUGAUGUCACAGUUAAUGUACAUUACGGUAGGAACUGCAACUGUAUCAGGUUGUCAGCAUCAAAGGGAAGUGUACAGAUUCAUUUUCGCCUAAUAAACCGCCUCCGAAAAGAAGUCCGCCGGCUGUCACGAGCCUACCGGGCACUCGGGCAGCUAGCUGCUAGCCGCUUACACUGGCGAGCUAUGCCGUACUCUGCUAUUUAAUCAAUGACAGCAUAAUAAAUGAUCAGUUGAACAUGAUCCGGGAUGUUGUGAUGAUGUUUGUGGCACCAUUAUAUGAUGGUAAUAUAAAGUGCAGUCAAGACAGCACCCAGUGGAGGUCAGGCCGGCAGGGCCGGCCCCUGUGGCAAUUGUUUGUGACUGCAGCCUCCGACAAGCUGCGGAGGCCAACUUCAAAAUAAAAGCCUAAGAAGGCAUUGAUGUCUAAUAUAUUGGUGGGGUUUUAUUUUGAAGUUGGACCCCGCGGUGCGUUUGUGGCGUCUUACGUGUUGCCGUGGUGCUUAGUAUGAACAAUCAUUGUGGCGGCUGGCUUGACUUCAAUUUUUUGACUGGAGCCAGAAGUUGAUCGGGCUUGGUCAUGUGACGUUCACAAGGGCACUUUUGACGUUAAUUUCAGUCAACAGCAGAGGGUGAUAUUGCCCAGCACGGCCGCCCCCUAAGAUUGGUGAAAACUGAUGAAUUUAUCUGUUUAAUUCAAAUUCCACAAACGUAAUAUUAAUCAGAAUACCGAGUUUAAACUACUGCCGACAUAUACAACAUACUCUUGCCCCCAAAAUGUUUGUGUUUUCUUCCCCUUUCAACACUUGGGGUCAUGAAGUGCCACAUCAAUACAAUCACUCUCAAUUGCACACUUGAAUUUCUUCAAUGUGACGGAAAUGGGAUAAGACCUUGGAACGAUGAGACAAAACUUGUGUGUUUUGACUGUGCAGCACCGGCGGCAUAUAAGUGACCUUUGGAAAUAGCAACCAGCCAAAUGCCUGUCGCUAUAAAAGAGGGGGAUUAUAUAUGUAUUCCUUCUUUUUUAGCUACUUGGCAACAGUUAUGACAUGUUCUGUCAGUCAUAUAAACUGUUUCCAAGAGACGUCCACUAAACUAUGCACCCAAACACCAACUAUAUAAAUCAUGCCUACUCAAAGUGUAAACUUGAGAGCCUCACCUUCCACCACUGGCAAAAUGUAUCAUAAAGCUCAUUUGAAUGUGGUCCCUCCUGGUAGGUGAUUUAUGACGUUGCAAUGUAGCCCAGCAGGAAGGCUUAGCGAGGCCUGCGAGGAAAUACAAUGCACGUUUACGCUAAAUCGGGGGAGAUGUUGCCUAUUGACACAAAGCUGUGUACGCAAGCGCUGGCAGCGUAGCUGUCUGUUUCUGUGCCAAAGACAGACCACUCCGCAGUGCCGGCGCACGUGAGGAAGAGCGCACAUGUCAAAAAGAUUAUCAAAGAGCUUGUCCAUAUCCCUCUCUGAAGGCCCUCCCACUCGACAAAAUCUUCACCCUAUUCGACUGUAACGUGUCCCUUUGUACUGAUCGUGCAUUCACAGAGGGGACAUCCAGUCCUCAAUCUUGCACAGCCUUUAUCCGUCUUUCAGCUCCUCAAACCAGCGUUGCUACUUGCUCGAAAGGAAACUCAAUUGGAUCUCCAUUUGGACUCGUCACGUGCAGGCCAGCACAAUACUAGAGUUGGAUUCACCAUGUCAUUUUACACAAAGCCUAACUCCUUCAGACAGAAAGGCCCAGGUGGCAACUUUUCAGUGUGCGGGGAGAAGGUGGGAUGCCUUGCUCAAGGGCUGCCAACUACUCUCCUAACCUCUCAUCAACCAUUUGUGUGAAAUGGCAUGCCUCCUGAUCUCUUUUGCCUCUGAAACUGAGCUCUGCCAUUAGAUAGGGCAGAGUGAACAUGAGAGGUAAAACGUGGAGUGGAGCGGGCAGUUUGGAUAAGGUGGUUUCUGAGUGGCUGCUUAUGGGAAAGCUUUACAUUCAUUCCACUGUUUUUUUCUAUGAAUAAUAAAUAAAUAAACGAGUUAAUUUUAUCAACCGUUGCUUGGAGGAGACUCAUUUGGGAUUAUACAAGCUACACUGUAUUUUGCAUAAUGCCCUUUGGAUAGUACUUGAAGAGUCAUCAUGUAUGCUUCAUGUUUUUUGUCACUUCAUAUUAGACCUUGAAGCAACAUACUAAUGAUGCCAUUAUUAACUUCUUGUCAGUCUACUUGUUUUAAUUAUCACCAUGGGUCAAGGCAACAAUAUUAAGGCUGUAUCAAUGAGUCUGUACAAAUACAUAGUAGACACACUUUGUGAGCAAGGCCUUUAGAAAAAUGUUACUUCACGCCAAUACGGCUAAUUUAUUCAAAUAAAUGCAAAGAUUACAAAUAAGUAACUAUUAUUUCAAACUUGAAGGAGAAAUUCCCUCUUUUAAGCCAUCUUCCAUUUUUCAUUAACAAAUAAUAUGCUACAUUGUAUACAGUUGCGUGUUUGGUAGAUUAAAUACCAGUACCCAUGGAUUGCAUUGCUUUUACAAUUAUUAUAAUUUUAUUAACAGUAAGGCUAGUUCCCUUUUCAGUAAUUUAUUUCUUUAAAUUUUUUUUAAACUACACGUGUAUCACCAAUCUCAUGUUCCUUUCCAUUUUUACUUUAAUUUCAGCCUUUAACUAUCUUGUUUACAGUCUUUUUUAUUUUAACCUUUGUACAGCGACAGCCUACCAGGAUAAAACUUCAUUUAUGGCAAUACAUCAUAUUCGGAUUUAAACUUUGUGUGAAAGACUGCUAAAUUCAAGUGUCCCUCAUUGGCAGUUAUUGUGUAUUACCAGUAAAUGAUCAACACCUCCAGUGGAGCAUGUUCACACAUUUGAAGGCUUUUGCGAUGAAGUCAAGUUUUCAGGGAUGGGGUAGUUGAUAGGUGAGUUUACACGGCCAGGAAUCCGAUACGUAUCAGAUUUUUUAUCAGCAUUUGGAGGAAGCCUGAUUCAGAUUUGAAGAUAUCCAAUUCCAUGCAUUUUUUUUUUUAUUUUUUUUACACUGCAAAGUGUGCCACUCAAACUAAAAAAAAAUGGUGUCACUUGUAACAUGCAGAGUAAAUCCAGACUGACAUCUACCUUGAAACAGCAUAACAAAUUGUAUGUACGUCCACAACAAUGUGUCCGCUAGAGCCAAGUCUCCUCAUAGCCACAUUAGCCACACAGUCAGAUGGGAUAUUCCAUACUGGCGGCUCAGUUAUAAUUCUGGGGGCUUCAGAAUUAUGUUUGUUUCAUAUAGCAUGUGCGUCUGCAACAAUGUAAAGGAUGGAGCAAUUGCUGUCUGUGGCUCUGAGACCACAUUCUACUUGAGUUAACAUUAACCUGAAAUGGUCGUAGGGUGAUGACCGUGGUGUUCGAACAACUGGGGAAAGAGAGGGAAUGAGAAGAUGACAAAUUUAGGGGGGCACUUGCCAUCUUCCUAGUGUGGUUGUUAAAGUGACCCUUGCCUACAAAAACACACAAAUACGAUGAGCCACUGAGAAAAAAGUUCAAAGAGAUCAAAGACACACGCACGCAUAUGCACAAACACACAAAUGCCCAAAAUAGAAACAACUACAAUACCAUUGGCCUUGUUUUAGCAUGAAAGAUUUGCACACCGGAAGCCAAACAACAAAGACCGCAAGGAGCUAGUUACAUAUUACAAUUCUCUCCAACUUGCUCUCGCAUGCCCCAGAGGCUGGGAAAAAAACGUCCUUGACCGAGAAUCAGAGACAAAAUAAAAUAUUUGAACUGAGUCAGACACAUGGGAGAACAUGCAGAGUUAUAAUUGCAGGUACACAUGAUCUGAACCAGAAGAAAUGAGGCCCUGCAAAGGCAGAAAAAGAAGAGCGCAGAUUAUUGUGGACUAAGGGUAUAGAACAGAGAAAAACAGUAUGAUGCAUGUUAACAAGAGAACUCAGGAGAAUUAAGACCAUUACAACAGAAUGAUUACGCAUUUAAAAAUAUUUUCAUGUUCUUCCAGAGGCACGGUGGACGACUGGUUAGCACAUCUGCCUCACAGUUCUGAGGACCGGGGUUCAAUCCCCGGCCCCGCCUGUGUGGAGUUUGCAUGUUCUCCCCGUGCCUGGGUGGGUUUUCUCCGGGCACUCCGGUUUCCUCCCACAUCCCAAAAACGUGCGUGGUAGGUUGAUUGAAGACUCUAAAUUGCCCUUAUGUGGGUAUGUGCACGCAAAUGGUUGUUUGUUUAUAUGUGCCAUGUGAUUGGCAGGCGACCAGUUCAGGGUGUACCCGCCUCUCGCCCGAAGAUAGCUGGGAUAGGCUCCAGCACGCCAUCAUCCCUCCAGACUAAUGCUGUGUAAGGAUUUCAUGUGGAAGAUUUGUAAAUGCAUGACAACAACAAGUUCCUCUUGAAUAAAAUCUAAAUGCAAUUUGCUUUUAUCCAUCUUCCAAACCGCUUAUCCUCACUAGGGUCACAGGUGUGCUUGAGCCUAUCCCAGCUAGAGGUGGGUUACACCCUGAACAGGUCGCCAGCCAAGCGCAGGGCACAUGUAUACAAAUACCAUUUGCCCGCACAUACCCACCUAAGGGCAAUUUAGAGUCUUCAAUUAACCUACCAUACGUGUUUUUGGAAUGUGGGAGGACUGUUUUGGUAUUGGCUGGGUCUCGCUUAUGCUUAGUACUAAGUACUGUAAAAUUUAUUUUUGGGGUUUGAGAGCUCAUGUGCCUUUUUGAUUGGCUGUUACAUCUGCAAGUUUGCAACGCAUUUCACCAGCAAUUCAAAUUUGUAAUCACUAGAAUACAUGUUUAGUCACGGCGACACUGUGGCCGAGUGGUUAGCACAUCUGCCUCACAGUUCUGAGGGCCCAGGUUCAAAUCUGGCCUCUCAUGUGUGGAGUUUGCAUGUUCUCCCUGUGCCUGCGUGGGUUUUCUCUGGGUAUUCCGGUUUCCCCAAAAACAUGCAUGGUAGGUUAAUUGGCAACUCUAAAUUGUGCGAAUGUGAGUGUGAAUGGUUGUUUGUUUAUACGUGCCCUGCAAUUGGCUGGCUACCAGUUCAGGGUGUAUCCCGCGUCUCGCCCAGAGUCAGCUGGGAUAGGCUCCAGCACGCCUGCAACCCUAGUGAGGAUAAGUGGUGCAGAAAAUGGAUGGAUGGAUGUUUAGUCACUCAUGAAAACGAGCUGCUGAACCCCACACACUGUGCAACAGUUCACUCGGGUUAGGCGUUGCUUAAGUGUACAGCGGGCCCUACAAUUUGAAUAUCCAGUCUUGUGUGAAUGUAGUAUGUUUCUUAUAAGUGUCAUUGACAUGAAUAAUGCAUUAUCCCACUUUAGCCAGCAAUGACAAAUCUGCCUGUUACAACACCCAUAUGGUAUUGGCUCGGCAUGCUUGGUAGUAGAAAAGGUACCUCAUAGUACCUUGUCUUGCCAAGGGAAAAGUGGCAAUAGUGAGUAGAACCAUGCCAAGACAGUACAACAAAGUGUAAAGAUAUACAGUAAUACUAGCAUCUCAAACAAAAAGGCCUCUAAUGAGCCUUUCUGGAUGGAGGGUGUGAGCGAGAAAGGCAAGGUAGUGGGAGGAAUGUGGCUGGCAUAGCAAUCAAGUAAGCAUUUAAAGGCAGUCUGCUUCACUCUCUUUACCUUCUCUGAUGAAUAUCACACCCGACUUUUCAGUCCAACAGGAUUCUGCAGCAGAGGGGGUGGGGGGUGGGGCAACAUGAGCAGCUGAGUGAUAGGAAUAGAUGGGUCGAUAGCGCUAUGACAUUUUGUCAGCCUGUCAGUUCUGAAGAGAAUUAUUAUUUUUUUCAAUUAAAGAUGAGUAAUAUUUAUAGGCUACCCCUGGCAUUUCAGAGUGUAUUUUGUAGAUUCUCUUUUCAGCAGCAGAUGGGUGGAAUGCCAUUUUCUCUCAAAUUUUUGUGACCUAUGUUUAGGUUCAUGAGUUUGGGAAUUGUACCAUGGCGUGAGCUUCUUUGGGUUUCUCUUUUUUAGUUUCAGCAGGGCAACAGAAUCAAGUUUCUCACAGUAGGGUAGCUGGACCCAGUGUCGGCGUCAUGUGGGGUGGGGUGGGGGCAACCCGACAAUGUCCCCCACCAAAUGAGUUGUGCCCUGCCACAGGUCGCUGCAGUGGAGCCUUUUCAUGCCAAUCUUUAGAACUUAAUCAAAGUCUAAAUAAAUGUAUUUUAGUCACCAACAGUGAGAUAAAGAUGAAUUUUCCGUGACUGAGAGUGUAAGUCUAACGUGUAAGUCCCGGCCAUAAAGGUGAGACACAGUCCUCUGAUAGUCGGUCACUUGGAGAGGGGUGAAGUCAAAGAGGCGCUGCUGGCUGCAAGCCUUAGCUCUGCUAUGAUACCUGGCUGCAAAUGAGGUGUUAUGGUCUUUCCCCAUUACAUCCAUGAUGUGAUUUAAUUGUCAUGUCAACACUGAGUGUCAAGUAUCUGCUUAUGACUGUGUUUUCAUAUCAGUGGAAAGCCCUUGAGCUCAACAGAUUUCUGAUCUGAGCAUGGGCGUAUUGGAGUCCCUGAACACUGUUUGCCGUUCCAGAUAUCAACAUUGUAGGACAAAGUUACACAUCUGGUGAUCCACAUCUAGGCUGUGAGGCCAGACGUUAACCAGGGACCUUUAAUGUAGAUUGGACUCCUUUGGUAUGAAAUAUCAUAUCAUACCAUAUGAAAUAUCAUCGGCUACUGAUGGGAUAACGUUGUGUGAAUCAAAAGGUCACUCAAGGAGAUUUUACUAUAUACAGUAAUUUUCAAACACCAACUAAGACAUGAAGGACAUGUAGCAGACCUACUGGAAAAUGACUCAUGUCGGUGCCUCUCUGCUUGGUCAACUGAUGAGUGGCCAUCCCGUAUAUCAAAAUAUAUCCAAGGCAACAAGUCUCUGAGCUAAAUUACUGCAAGAAUGUUACAAAAAUGAAUGUCGUUUGGGUUAAAUCAUCCUUGUUUAUAUUCCAUUCAAAUGGUGUAAGAGGCACUUGAAUGCCAAAAGUGGCUAUUGCUUGUUUUCUGUCAUCUCCAAUGUAGACGUCACAGUCUAAAAAAAAAUAAUAAUAAAAAAAAAAAAGCAACUUAUUGUCUUUGACAUCUUCAUGUGUGAACUUGAUGUUUUUGUCCACUGAGUUAAUGUGCUUGGUGAAUCACAUCUUGGCUUCUUAUUUUAACCCAUGUUUCAUUCACAUAUCUGCAGUAAUGACUUGGGGGUUGUUCCCUUAAAGGAGUUCUGAGUCUAUAUGUAAAUGUUGGCCACCAUUCCUGGUUUGGAGUGUGCCUAUAACAUUGAGCUGUCCCAUCAAACCUAUUCAGGGUCCGUUAACCCUUUUUGAGAGGUGGCCAAGUUGUGGUGGUGGUACUGGCUCCGUAUAGUCACGAUAUAAUACUAUAGGUUUCAAUGAUUAUUCCAUAUUUGCAGUCUUUAAAUUGUGCGGUGAAAUGGUUCGUUUGAUUUAAGUGGCUAAAACAAAAUAUUUGGGGUAAAAAGCAAGCUUGUGUUAAGUUUAUCUUAUUUAUUUAUCAAAUUUGUAUUGGCGACUGGUUGGCACAUUUGCCUCACGGUUCUGAGGACCGGGGUUCAAAUCCCGACCCCGCCUGUGUGGAGUUUACAUUUUCUCCCCGUCCCUGCGUGGGUUUUCUCCAGGUACUCCGGUUUCCUCCCACAUCCCAAAAACAUGCGUGGUAGGUUGAUUGGAGUCUCUAAAGUGCCCGUAGGUGUAAAUGCGAGUGUGAAUGGUUGUUUGUUUAUAUGUGCCCUGCAAUUGGCUGGCAACCAGUUCAGGGUGUACCCCGCCUUUCGCCCAAAGAUAGCUGGGAUAGGCUCCAGCACGCCAGCGACCCUAGUGAGGAUAAGCAGUACGGAAAAUGGAUAGAUGUAUUGGCCCGGUUAGGCCAGCAUCAGUAAGGCACAUGGUGGCCCUACACAGUGCCAUACUGGCCCAGGGCCAUUGGGUCACCGUUAAUGUCUGACCCUGCUAUGUGCAUGAACUGAUGAAGACAGCGCAGAUGAGAGGCCAAACGUCUUCUAAGAGAACCAGAACAGUCCAGUAGCGAUCGAUACAAUGCCAGGAGGACUCACACGUUAGGGUAAUUGAACUCUAAAAUGUUCAUAGGUGUUAAUGUUAGAGUAAAUUGCUGUUUGUUUUGGACUGGCAACCAGUCCAGGGUGUAAUCCAUCUUUUCCCCAAUGUCAGCUGGGACUGGUUCCAGCUCCCCUGUGGCACUAAUGAGGACAAGCGGUAUAGAUAAUGGGUCGAUGGAUGGUUUUGACUAGUUGGAAUUCACUGAUGUAGUGGUUCAUUCGCCUGACUUGCAGGCAGCUUGGGUUCAGUUCUUACUCAGCGACAGUGUGAGUGUGAAUGGCAGUCUGUCUCUAUAUGUACCCUGUGAUUGACGAGCGACCAAUGGAAGGGGUUGUCUUCCUUUCACCCACAGUCACCUCGGGUAGGUUUCAAAAGAACCCCACAACCCUGAACAGAAUAAGCAGUACAGAAAAUGGAUGCAUGGUUGGACUUGACGUGUUUAUGUCCACACAAAUGUGAAUGUGGGAGCAACUUUAAAAUCAAAGUGUCAGUGAAAUAUGUUGCACCAAGAUUGAUCUUCAGUUAAUAGACAGAAGACAUUCGGUCAUCAAACAAGCAUCCACCUACUUCAGUUUCCAGUGACAGUCAAUCACAAGAAUCCCUGCCAGCCUUCUGGAUUGCGAUGGAAUCCUCGUUGCAUUCUGUCUUGUCUUAUGUAACACCCACACAACUGCCCUCUCUAGUAGACGAUAGCUAUUCUAAGGACUGCCAUGAAGAUCUUUUAUUCCAAUCUGAAGGAAUUAAUAUAGGUAAUUUGAUAAAGAUACUGAUAAUGUGCUGUAGCUUGAAUCAUGUCCCCCCAUUACAACAAAAUAAAGUCUCAAAGGAAGUCCAGCAAACAUUUAAAGAUCAUAAAUGCAUGACAACCACACUCAUAAAGGGAAGUAAACACAGAUAAACACGAGCAAUGGCUUAAACUAUGACCUCAGUCUUUCUUGCGGUACAAUAUUUCCUUGAUGAGGAUGCAUCCAAACACAUCCAAAUGAACCAUGGAGAUGUUCACUAUCUCUAAUUUUGUUCUCCAAAUUGUGGACGAAACUUUACAUCAUUUUUAUGAAGCUUGGUGGAAGGAGCGAGCACGAACCUUGACAAAUUCUUUUGGGGCUAAUCUAGACAACAUAACAGCUAGAUUUUUACUAUAUUAGAUAGAUAGAUAAUAUAACUCUAUAUGGACUUUAUAGAAAUUGUGAAUAAUGGCAAUGAACCUACUUUAUGACCAGUGGAGGAUAGGAUUGGUAGUUAAGAUUAUUUUCAGCAUAUUUAAUAUAGGUUUGGGACUGGAAUGUGUAUAACGUUGUGGUUUACAGGAAAGUGAUUAAACAAAAAAGAACAACAACAACUAGCAAACAGUUUAGGCAAGUUUAGCCAAUUCUGUGCGUACCUCGUGGGCCAAAUGUGUCCAAAAAUAAUAUUAAAGCAAAUUUUCCCUCCCUUCUUGAUCUUUGUUUUCUGUGCGCAGUUUCUGGUUGCCCAGCACAUAGCGAUAUCAAGGUUCCAGCAUCGUCUGAUUGGCCGCUAACCCGGAAGUAGUUGGAUGGUUGCUCGGGUAACGUGCGGAAUGGUUUGGGUAAACCAGCUAAUCUACUGGGCUUUCCGUUGUAAUUCAAUGUCCAUUUCAUAUAAUACUAUUCAUCUGUCAUGUAACAAGAAUAAAAAAAUAUUUGAUUUAGAAACAGACCCCAAACACAAUUAUAACCAUAUAGAGAAUAAUUUAUUUUCUCUGCCACUCUCAACCAGAGGUAAAUUCAAUUUAACAUGUUUACCUCACAGUUCUAAGGUAGGUACGGGGUUCAAAUCUGUGUGGAGUUUGCAUGUUCUCCUAGUGCUUGCGUGGGUUUGCUCCAACAUUCUAAAAACAUGAAAAAUUCAAGUGCUGAGAUUUUUCUCAUUUUAAACUUUGCUAUCCCAGCUAAUAUGCGCAAACUGCACCCUGGACUGGUGGCCAGUCAGUCACAGGGCAUAUCUAGAGACAGACAACCAUUCUCACUCAUAUUCACACCGUCACCGAGUGGGGACUGAACUCACACUGCCUGCACCGAAGUCAGGCGAAUGUACCGCUACAUUGUGCUGUUUCAUCUUCCCCAAUAUUUGAAGAACUUUGUUCCAUAAGCGAGCAGGUAUUGUGUGCAUCUGCGGAUCCACAAGCGGGCUGAUAUCAACUAACAAAGUGCUAUGGCGGGAUACCCAAUCCAGCCAGUGGGAUUUACAGGUUGUGUGUGCGUGGGUGCAUGGGUGCGUGUGUAUUGGAGAAGGAAACACUUUCACAUUAUCAGUGGGGCUUUACUUUCUGGAGGCUAUCCAGAAGAUGAUUUUUCAUCUUAGCUUGUGUCCUUGAUGUACGCAUGCUGUCUGCUGUCUGCUGUAUCUAUUUUGAACUCCCUCAUUUAUAAAGCCAUAAAACAGAUGGUGUGAACAGCACCGAUGCGCCAACAGCGAUGACAGAAAUGGAAGCUUGGCUACAGAUGAGAAACAACCUGCAAUGCGACUGCGGAACUUGGAAAGCGCCUCUGCUGACACAUGUUGCCGUGGUGUAUUGAGUAACAGCCAUAACCCCUUACCAUUGACCCUUACCACCCCUUACCAUUCCUUUAAGGGAAUUGACCCUUACCACCAUGAGCUUGUGGUGCGUGUGCAUUGGCAGAAUGAGCUGGUCAGAGGUCAGUAGCACGAAACUGGUGCAUAUCUGCUUGUGUCUGUAUCAAGUCAUCGAUGAUCUGUUGUCUGAACAGGUUGCCUUUUUGUAAAGUCUGUGCACGGUAUUUUCCUGCUCCCCUUGGGUCCUUGUGACAUCUCAUUUCUCCCCUUUCUCCCGGAGGAGUCUACCUGGGGCGCUUCAUCUCACUAAAUGGGACUCUUACUCUCUUAACUAACAUUGUACAUCAUAAUACGAUGUGAUAAAUGUUCCAUUGCAGCCUCUUCAUCCUGGAAGGGGGAGUGGAGUGCUCCAUUUGUGGUCACUUCUCAUGUUUCUUCCAUUUUUUUGUUGUUGUAAAAAACCAUGUUUUUGUUGUUGUUUGUUUUUCUUUGUCCAGUUGGGGGGUUUAGACCAGGACAUGUCACGGAUCUUUGUCAACUGGGCCUGUGAAGCCCUUUGGUACUGUUUUGUGAUUAAGGACAAUAGAAAUAAACUUGACCUGAGAACCUUGAGAAAACCCAUCCUUAUACUGGGCGAAACUGUAAACUCCACACAGAAAGGCCGGAAUUGGGAUUCAAACCCCAAACCUCAGAACUGUUUGGCAGACAAGCUAACCACUAGUACUCCAUGCUGCCUGCAAAAGAUAUCCGACUCAGGAAUAGCAUAUUUGAGCCGAAGUGCAAUGUCAAGUGGCAAUAUCCGUUAUAUUUGUGUAAUAUUAAAUAGCAAGUGGUGUAUGUCCUGUUUGUCAAAAACAAAAUGAACCAGAUUUGCAAAGUAAAAGCUCAUUUGUUCACUGUAUCAAUACGUUUUCUGAAAGUGCUUGAAUUGUUUUUGACCAGUGUUAAUCAUUUAUAUCUUGCAAUAAAUGGGCGCUUAUUUCUCUCUAAUGUACAUGAAAAAUGGGGGAAGUAACUAUAACAAAAUACUAAGUACCUAAGUGAAUUAUUGCAAUUUCUAGUGCAGGUCUGAAGCUAAAGAUGUUGGUGAAGCACACAUGCAUUUGCAAAUCAGCGCAAUGGAACACAGAAGAUCAUUCUGAGAAAAAGCCUUUCCCCCUGGUCUUGGAGUUAGUUCAAGAAUUAGUGGGUGGGUUUAGUACUUUCUACUCAGUCAGUGUGCCAGGACAAUGUCUCUGUUUUGUCUCAAAGGACACCAGUCACACACACACCUGGGCUUUAUGCAUAAUAGUGUGUUAUGUCACAAAUGCGUCCACAACAGCACCAUCGUUAGAAAAAGAGCUUCGUAAUUCAUUUCUCCUUCCUUGUGAAUUGCAACUAUGCAAGCUGUGCAAAUCAAUAUUCUUUGUUUUGUGUCCUUGAUGAGAGCCUGGUGGGACAUCUUCAUUUGUGCUAUGGCGUCAAGCUUAACUCAUCUGUCAUUGCCUGGAAAGUCAUAAAGACAGUGACCCAAGGUAUCCCAAGAAUUGAACUCCAACCUUCAGAGCAUGCUUGGCCUUCGAGUGAGUACAGAGUCCAUUAAUGACUCAGGAAAGAAAACCUAAGUUGUGUAAGUAAAGAUGCAAAAAAACAUCAACAACAACAAAAACACAUACAAACACAUAUAACGUGGCCACUGAAAUUUCCAGUCACAUGACAUCUGUUCAGAAUCUUAAAACUAAUUGUUUUCAUUUAGUUGUUUUGGUUGACUCUUCUAGUUCUCAUCUGAAAUAUUAAACAUAGUGCACGAGACUAAAUAUGAUUUUAAAAAGACUAAUGUAAUAAGACCCUAAAUAGUCUAGCAUUUGGCAGUCAUUGAGACAGAUCCCUUUUACAGUUUGUCUUCAAAAGCUUAGGAGGGAGAGUGAUUAUUAGCUCUAUGUAUCAUCGUCAAGCUCUAAAAAAAAUUAUGAACUACUUUCUAUCGGUUACCAUUUCAGCUUAAUAAAGUGCUCGGAGGGCCAUAAGUUUAUGCGAAGAUAUGAUGCAAUGAUCAAACAUUGACUAUUGUUGCGUUGUGGUAUUAUGACUAUUUGUGGGUUAAAUAUUUUGGGGCUUAUCGUAACAGUUUCUCUGAGAUUUUAGUUGUUGUUAGAAUUGUAUGGUUGGCCGGACUAAAUGCUCUCACAGGCCGUAUAGGGCCCUCAGACAGUAGGUUCUCCACCCCAAAGCUAACAUUUUCAGUUUUAGUCAAUAGAGGCCAAACAAACGUAAACAUCUGAUAUAUUCGAAAAAUAAUGACCUGUGAGGAAAUAUUGUGGAAAAUGAAUUAUUGUAUCUGCACAUACAGUGGAUAUAAAAAGUCUACUGAAAAUGCCAGGUUUUUACAAGGAAUCAUACAGCUGAACCUAAACGCUGUUGAAGUAUGAUUUUCCUGAUUUCCAUAAUGGCACCUUUUUUGUUUACUUUUUAUUAUUGUUUUUGAGGGACACAUAGCACAAAUACAAACUAUUACAGAACAAAUAAAAAUUCCUUAGAUGCAUUUUACCGCAAAAGCUAUGAGCUUCCAAAGCAUCCAAGGGAACUGAGUAGUAUCAAUGAGGUGAAAGGCCAAAAGAAUUUAUAAGGAAUUUAUAAGGGAUUGGACAUUGCGUGGAACGCUGUAAAGACAGUCACCAACAAGUGGAGAAAAUAUGGCACGAUAGUAAUUUUACUUACAGAGAUGUGAGUGAAAACGUCUGUCAAGUCGUGGCUGUGACAACCAAGAGACUUGAUUUGACAUUAACUUGAGCUACAUGACUUGACAAGUCAUCUCGGUUGGUGUUGGAAAUUUGCAUUUUAAUUGAGAUAGUUUGCCAUUUUUUUUUUUUGAAAGAAAAAAAAAUGUUUUGGGGGUUCAUUCGCGCCAACCUGCCAACACAGUUUGUAUUGUUGCACAUUUGCCAGUGUGAUGUAGCCACCUGCAUGAAUGAUGGAAGGAGCGCCAAAGAUAAUUGGAUGCAAGGAUUAUGUUGUAGAUGAAGUCUGCAAAAAGAAGAUGGCAACCUGCAUGGUUUGCAACACCCAUAUUAAAGACACAACAACAACGACGUCGAACUUCAUCUGCCGCUACAAAACUCACAAAGACAGGUAAGCUAAUUUAACAGUUUAGCUAGCUGGUCAAACAUUAAGUUUCAUAGACUGGUUUGCGACGAUUAAAAAUAAAGAAUUAUGUGAGAGGCUUGAGGAUGCCAGAUGCGUUAUAAGUCUGCUGUAUGCAUUUGGAUCACGGCGAUAAAAAUGUCGUUGACAAAGUACGUUGCAGUAUUUGGAAGUGCAGGACACAUUGGGAGUCGCUACGUGUUUCAUACUCAACGUGCUUAUUGAAGUGUCACCCUUAAAAUGUCAUCUGUCGUGUCGUCUCUGUGAUAAAGCUGUCUGCACAAUGUUUUUAAAAUUGAAACCACGGCAUAUGAAACGGCCUUUAAUCGAAGGACAAUUGUCAGUCGCCCAGAGUCAGCGCUUAUAAAUGAGAUCACAGUUAUGAGAGCAUGUGCACACGUAAGCAACCGCACGAUCUCUGUUUAUUUUUACUUCUCUCGGUAAAAACAAAACAAAAAAAUUUUUUUUGCAAAUGAGUCAUACAGGUUGUGUAUCACAUUAAAGGUGAAAAAAGUUGUGAAAAUAUUUAUUAUAUAUGGCUUUUGUUUAGUAGUUACAUGGCUGUCACCACAAAGUACAGCGCAUAGUUUGUUCAGAUAUAAAGUUGAGUUAAAUUGAGUUUGAAAUACAACUUUAAAACAAUUCAGUGCAAUAAAUUCAAUCAAUCAUAAUCUCCGUUGUUGCUCAUUUAACUUUUAUAAGGUAUAAUACUUUUUUUACUGUCAUGAUUUGUGGAAAAAAACAUUGCCAUUCCAAUAUAUGUUGCGACUGGAGCAAGAUGGUAUGACUUGACUUGCGACUUGCUUAAACCAAGUAAUAACUUGACUCAACCUGCUUGAAAUUUAGUGGCGACUUGACUUGCUUGAUUUAUUUUUAUUUUUUUUUUCUACAGCGCCUAAGGACUUGCUUGAGACUUGAAGGUUAUGACUUGAGACUUGCUUGUGACUCGCACAUAUGUGACUUACUCCCACUUCUGCUGAGAAGUUCUUUACUUCUUCCUACUUCGUUGGAAUGUGUACAUUGUACAUUCCUUGUUUAUUUUUGCUUUGUUCUUUAUUUUUUGCCAUUUUCUCAAUAGACUAGCUUGUGUUGAUUUGGUUUUUUUUGUGUGUGUAUAUUUUCAAUAUAGAUGGAAAAAAAAAAAGGAACUUUUUUGGCCAAGGAGCAAAAUACCCAUUGUGAAGCAUGGCAGUAGAAGUAAAGUGCUUUGCUUUGCUCUUGGAACAGGGGCCUUAGUAAAGAUGGAGGGAAUUAUGAACAGUUCCAAAUAACAGUAAAGCUUCCAUUAGCCAAAGAGGGUUUCAGCAUGAAAACCACCCCAAACGUAAUGUCCGGCAUGGUGAAUAUAGUGGCUCGCACUAACACUGAUUAAGAAGCCACCCUGCAUCAAAAUGGCAUGACAGCACAGCUAGUCAUCACCUACAAAAGAAAAGUUUGUUCGAUGGCAAACAGACAGUGGUAGAAGUCACACUGCUCUGGUUAUGCAAGCCCUGAACCAAAGCCCGAUUGUCUGGAACGUGUGUGAGACCUGCCACGGAAGCAAAGGGCUCAAGAAAGGAGUCCGCAUUCAUUGGAGCGAAAACAUCCUCUCUUUACCGUCUGUUAGGCAGUCCUCCACCUGUGGUCUUAAUUCGCUGAGGGGAGAAUGGCAACGUCAGGCUUCCUUUGUGGCCCUGAAAAGACUGGCAAAGAUGAAAGCCACAGGGUAACCCAAUUACAGCAAUGGAAAAAUGCAGCCACAAUGAGAAGAGCGAGACCUUGCAUAACACUGCACACAGGAUAUUACCCUGCUCCAAAUUACAUAGCAACACAUUACAAGACGGAACAACCAUCAAUAAAAGUAUGCAAAUAAGUUAUGAUCCGUGCCCCAUUUCCUUCUAAUAUGAUUGUAGAAUAACACUGGCUUUGUUAAAUGCAGUGAUUGCAUUUCAAAUAAAAGCUGCUUCCAAUGCCUGAUGUAAUAUCUGGUUUCAAAUGUUCAUGCCACCCAACGAGCCUAAACCAUCCAUACACACACACACACACACGCAUAUAAAUAAUACCUUUUUAUUCUUCUGUCAGUCUUCCCACAAUGUGAGUUCUCUGGAUCGCUUUCUUUUGGUUUGUUAUCAAUGGACUGUUGAUUGGUACAGCAGCACACAGCCAACUGGCCAUUCAUCCCGAUUUCAAUGGGAAUGACGCAAAUGCUCGGUCCGUUAGGUUGCUUGUGGCCUGGGCCUGCUGCUGGACUGGGGCUCUCUACAACGUGGGCCAGGACAGCCUAGAAAGAUCCUGAACCUGGCAAAAUGAACCUGGGGAUGUUAUUUAGAUACAUUUUAUAUUAUAUAAUAUUUAUGUACCGUAAAUGAUUAAAGCAAUAAAGAUGUCUGAGUGAUAUAACAGAUUUGGACUGUAAUGUAAUCUGCCAUUAAAACAGAUUUGCUUGCGAAAGCAGCUGUUUUGUGUACUUUCUUUCAUGUGAAUUCGGGUCACAAGUCACAUAAAAGGACAACAAACGAGGGGACAGAAGAUGAGAAGGAGAUACGUUUGCUUGCAAGACAUGCAAAACAGACACAACCUGCUACAAAUAUGAGGGGGGGGGAAUGUGUAACUCCCGUACAUCCAAGGUUCUGCUUUAGAUGCAGGCUUGAAUUAGUAUUUAUAAUCAUUAAUUAUAGUUGACAUUAUUUUGAAAUGACAUGGAUAGUGAUUUUUGGUUAUGCACAUCCAUCCAUUCUUCUCAGAACUAUGAGGCAGGUAUGCUAACCACGACACGAGUCAUGAGACAUUUAAUGAGUAAAUCCCCAGUAUAUUUAUUUAUUUUUUUGCCAUUUUGCUAUUUAAAUUAUUAUAAUACAAAACGUUGAUUAAUCGUACAUCAAUAAAUGAAAAUGUUUACAUAUAAUAAAUACUGGAUAUAAAUCUUCCAUAAAUGAGUCAAAUGUAGGAAAUUAUAGCAAUUCUAAUUUAAUACAAUACACUUAAGUAUGUGAGGUAGAGUGAAUUGGGGCCGUCAUUCUUUAACAAUGUUGCCACCUACUGGCAUUUUAGUUUAUUGUGGCUUGUUGUCUUGGUGGAACCUUUCUCCUGUGGGGGCCAUUAUUGUCAAAAGGUGGCGGACAGGAGCUAUAAAAUACACUGUGUGUCAUAAUGUAAAAACCCGUAAUGUGUGAAUGCUUAGACUAACAGGCCUACUGUAUGUUGGCUUGCUUGCUUGCUCGAAACAAACCCAAUCCUUCAUUUCUGCUCAGAAUUUGCACAUCUUUUCCAUCAAAGAAUUGCAAUCGUUAGAGAAGGGAGGCAGUAUGCACAGACCAUGAGAUGGACUUGGCAGCAGAUCACUAAUUCCUGCCUGAAAAUUCACAGGUGAGGAGACAUUCAAAUGUGCUAAGGAAAUUACUAUUAGAAUCAUAUUUCCAACAAUUUCAAUCGUGCUCUUCUUAUUUAUGCUCUAAAAUAGUUUUUGUCUGUAUUGCAAAAGUGACAUGUUGGUCAGGAGGGAAUUCAGGCUGUAGCAUUGCCAGUCAGGGAGAUGUUGCCAACGGAGACAGCACAGGAUAAAUCUUGAGCUGGUUGCCAACCAAUCGCAGGGCACAUACAAAAACAACCAUCCGCAAUCACAUUCACACCUACGGGCAAUUUAGAGUUGUCAAUUAACCUAGCAUGCAUGUUUUUGGGAUGUGGGAGGAAACCGGAGAAAACCCACGCAGGAACGGGGAGAACAUGCAAACUCCACACUGGUGAGGCCAGAUUUGAAUCCGGGUUCUCAGAACUGUGAGGCAGAAGUGCUAACCAGCCGUCCACCAUUAUUAUUAAUAUUUCCAGUCAACAGAUUUAUAAAAGGCUAAACCAUUAUCUUACAAAUAUCUGGCAAAUAUCCUAAAGCAGUCAGCAUGGGAAGUGCAUUUUCACCAAUUUGUUGUUAAAAUAUAAAAUAAUAACAAUAAAACAACUGUGUGUAUGUAAUAAUAUGAUGAAGUAUCCAUCCAUCC